UACGGAGGGUGCGAGCGUUGUCCGGAAUCACUGGGCGUAAAGGGCGCGUAGGCGGCAGGCCAAGCGUGCGGUGAAAGUCCGGGGCUCAACCCCGGAUCUGCCGUGCGGACUGGUUUGCUAUAGCACUGUAGAGGCGAGUGGAAUUCCGGGUGUAGCGGUGGAAUGCGUAGAGAUCCGGAAGAACACCGGUGGCGAAGGCGGCCUGCUGGGCAGUAGCUGACACUGAGGCGCGACAGCGUGGGGAGCAAACAGG
rnacentral:rRNA from 1 species